rnacentral:rRNA from 1 species
GUGGGGAAUAUUGGACAAUGGGGGGAACCCUGAUCCAGCCAUGCCGCGUGUGUGAAGAAGGCCUUUUGGUUGUAAAGCACUUUAAGCGAGGAGGAGGCUACCGAGAUUAAUACUCUUGGAUAGUGGACGUUACUCGCAGAAUAAGCACCGACUAACUCUGUGCCAGCAGCCGCGGUAAUACAGAGGGUGCAAGCGUUAAUCGGAUUUACUGGGCUUAAAGCGCGCGUAGGUGGCCAAUUAAGUCAAAUGUGAAAUCCCCGAGCUUAACUUGGGAAUUGCAUUCGAUACUGGUUGGCUAGAGUAUGGGAGAGGAUGGUAGAAGUCCAGGUGUAGCGGUGAAAUGCGUAGAGAUCUGGAGGAAUACCGAUGGCGAAGGCAGCCAUCUGGCCUAAUACUGACACUGAGGUGCGAAAGCAUGGGGAGCAAACAGGAUUAGAUACCCCGGUAGUCC